CAUAGCUCUGAUAAGGCAGACCAUAAAUCUGCGAUUGGAACAAUCGAAAAUACUAUUUUAUAUACCUGUGCAAACGUAACUAAAAGGGAUUUAAGUCGCAUUAAUAUAUACGUUCUCUACAGCUUCGUGAUGCAGGUAUUUUUUCACUGGGUUUUCUUAAUUGUUUCGAAGGUACAACAUUUAAAUUUAGCUGGGCAUCCACAGAUAUAUUUGUUUGUCAAAUUUCUGUUCAAAGGGAAUUCGAAUGUGAAUAGCCCCAGCUCGAAACCAAUUCAGAUAGAAGCAUUUAUAUUCUUCUCUAGCAAAUCGGCAUAUGUUAGUACCAAGCACACGUAGUGCACAAGAUCACUAACAUCCAUUACAUGCCUCCAUGAUAUAUGUAAAAAGGAAACAUUAAAUACAUAUUGGGGUGUUUAAAAUUAAUACGGGUUACCUGAUCGCAGUUGACGGUACGCCUUCGUCG